rnacentral:rRNA from 1 species
GAUGAACGCUGGCGGCGUGCCUAGUACAUGCAAGUCGAGCGAACGGACGAGAAGCUUGCUUCUCUGAUGUUAGCGGCGGACGGGUGAGUAACACGUGGAUAACCUACCUAUAAGACUGGGAUAACUUCGGGAAACCGGAGCUAAUACCGGAUAAUAUUUUGAACCGCAUGGUUCAAAAGUGAAAGACGGUCUUGCUGUCACUUAUAGAUGGAUCCGCGCUGCAUUAGCUAGUUGGUAAGGUAACGGCUUACCAAGGCAACGAUGCAUAGCCGACCUGAGAGGGUGGUCGGCCACACUGGAACUGAGACACGGUCCAGACUCCUACGGGAGGCAGCAGUAGGGAAUCUUCCGCAAUGGGCGAAAGCCUGACGGAGCAACGCCGCGUGAGUGAUGAAGGUCUUCGGAUCGUAAAACUCUGUUAUUAGGGAAGAACAUAUGUGUAAGUAACUGUGCACAUCUUGACGGUACCUAAUCAGAAAGCCACGGCUAACUACGUGCCAGCAGCCGCGGUAAUACGUAGGUGGCAAGCGUUAUCCGGAAUUAUUGGGCGUAAAGCGCGCGUAGGCGGUUUUUUAAGUCUGAUGUGAAAGCCCACGGCUCAACCGUGGAGGGUCAUUGGAAACUGGAAAACUUGAGUGCAGAAGAGGAAAGUGGAAUUCCAUGUGUAGCGGUGAAAUGCGCAGAGAUAUGGAGGAACACCAGUGGCGAAGGCGACUUUCUGGUCUGUAACUGACGCUGAUGUGCGAAAGCGUGGGGAUCAAACAGGAUUAGAUACCCUGGUAGUCCACGCCGUAAACGAUGAGUGCUAAGUGUUAGGGGGUUUCCGCCCCUUAGUGCUGCAGCUAACGCAUUAAGCACUCCGCCUGGGGAGUACGACCGCAAGGUUGAAACUCAAAGGAAUUGACGGGGACCCGCACAAGCGGUGGAGCAUGUGGUUUAAUUCGAAGCAACGCGAAGAACCUUACCAAAUCUUGACAUCCUUUGACAACCCUAGAGAUAGAGCUUUCCCCUUCGGGGGACAAAGUGACAGGUGGUGCAUGGUUGUCGUCAGCUCGUGUCGUGAGAUGUUGGGUUAAGUCCCGCAACGAGCGCAACCCUUAAGCUUAGUUGCCAUCAUUAAGUUGGGCACUCUAAGUUGACUGCCGGUGACAAACCGGAGGAAGGUGGGGAUGACGUCAAAUCAUCAUGCCCCUUAUGAUUUGGGCUACACACGUGCUACAAUGGACAAUACAAAGGGCAGCGAAACCGUGAGGUCAAGCAAAUCCCAUAAAGUUGUUCUCAGUUCGGAUUGUAGUCUGCAACUCGACUACAUGAAGCUGGAAUCGCUAGUAAUCGUAGAUCAGCAUGCUACGGUGAAUACGUUCCCGGGUCU